rnacentral:rRNA from 1 species
GAUGAACGCUAGCGAUAGGCUUAACACAUGCAAGUCGAGGGGCAUCGAGGGUAGCAAUACCUGUCGGCGACCGGCGCACGGGUGAGUAACGCGUAUGUAACCUGCCCGCAACAGAGGGAUAACCCGGCGAAAGUCGGACUAAUACCUCAUAAAACAGGGGUUCCGCAUGGGGCUAUUUGUUAAAGAUUUAUUGGUUGCGGAUGGGCAUGCGUACCAUUAGGUAGUUGGUGAGGUAACGGCUCACCAAGCCAUCGAUGGUUAGGGGUUCUGAGAGGAAGGUCCCCCACACUGGUACUGAGACACGGACCAGACUCCUACGGGAGGCAGCAGUGAGGAAUAUUGGUCAAUGGGCGAGAGCCUGAACCAGCCAAGUCGCGUGAAGGAUGACUGCCCUAUGGGUUGUAAACUUCUUUUACAGGGGAAUAAAAUGAGAUACGUGUAUUUUA